rnacentral:rRNA from 1 species
UGGGGAAUAUUGCACAAUGGGGGAAACCCUGAUGCAGCCAUGCCGCGUGUGUGAAGAAGGCCUUCGGGUUGUAAAGCACUUUCAGCGAGGAGGAAAGGUGGCUAGCUAAUACCUAGUUGCUGUGACGUUACUCGCAGAAGAAGCACCGGCUAACUCCGUGCCAGCAGCCGCGGUAAUACGGAGGGUGCAAGCGUUAAUCGGAAUUACUGGGCGUAAAGCGCACGCAGGCGGUUAGAUAAGUCAGAUGUGAAAGCCCCGGGCUCAACCGGGGAACUGCAUUUGAAACUGUGUAACUAGAGUCUUGUAGAGGGGGGUAGAAUUCCAGGUGUAGCGGUGAAAUGCGUAGAGAUCUGGAGGAAUACCGGUGGCGAAGGCGGCCCCCUGGACAAAGACUGACGCUCAGGUGCGAAAGCGUGGGGAGCAAACA